rnacentral:rRNA from 1 species
UACGUAGGGGGCUAGCGUUGUCCGGAUUUAUUGGGCGUAAAGAGCGUGUAGGCGGCCAGAUAGGUCUGCUGUGAAAACUCGAGGCUCAACCUCGAGCUGUCGGCGGAAACCAUUUGGCUAGAGUCCGGAAGAGGAGAGUGGAAUUCCUGGUGUAGCGGUGAAAUGCGCAGAUAUCAGGAAGAACACCAAUGGCGAAGGCAGCUCUCUGGGACGGUACUGACGCUGAGACGCGAAAGCGUGGGGAGCGAACAGG